UCCAAAUUUGAGAAACCCAAUUCCCCAAAUUCCCCAUUUCAUCCCCAAAUUCCCCAAUCACCAGUAACACAAUUCCUCCUUGUUCUACCCCAAAAUCACGGUUGCGCCGCCGUCGUUCCUCCGUCAUUCUCACUCAUUUCAUAAUUCAUUCAUAUGAAUCCCAUUCUCUCUCUCUCUCUCUCUCUCUCUCUCUCUCUCUCUCUCUCCACACACAUCACACCAUCCUCUUCAAUUCUUCUUCAUCUUCCAUAUCUCUUUUCUUAGGGUUCCAUUCCACGUACGGUUACCGUCAUUUGCAAUGCUCAAUUCUACGUACAUUCAUUCAAUUCAGUCUUGACGCUCUUUUUUUUGUUCUCAUCAUUUGUAGAAACACCAAAGCUUCUUCAAAUCCAACCACCCGAACUCAGAUUUCUCUUUGAAUUAAAGAAACAAAGCUCGUGCCUGGUUCACAUUGUAAACAAGUCCGAUCAGUAUGUUACUUUUAAGGUGAAAACAACGUCUCCAAAGAAAUAUUGUGUUAGACCUAACUUAGGCAUCAUCAAGCCAAAGGAAACAUGUGAUUUUACUGUCUUCCAACAAGAAUGGAGCCUGCAAGGAUAAGAAUCCAAGAGGGCUUCAUGACACAAGCAGCAGACUCAUUGCUUCAGCAAAGUUGAGCAUUAGUUCUAGUCCAGAUGUGAAGGGAGGAUGUCUUCAAGGAGGAAACCUUAGUAGGUCACCAGCAGCACCUAAAUUCAAAGGAGUACAAGUUUUCACAUACAAGGAGAUAGAAGUGGCCACAAAUGGAUUCAGUGAAGCAAAUGUCAUUGGUAAUGGAGGGUUUGGUUUGAUGUACAGAUGAGUCCUAAGUGAUGGUACUUUGGCAGCAAUCAAGUUGCUACGCAAAGAAUGUAAGCAAGGGGAGCGUGCCUCUAGAGUAGAGCACAGAAACAAGACUGAAGAUAGGUGCUGGAGUGAAAAUGGAAUGGGAUAGGAGGCUUAGAAAAAAGAUGUUGCAGGAGGCAUGUUGUUUUGAGUGGCAGAAUUUAAUUGCGGAAGCAUCAAGGAAAGGAUAUGCCAAGCAGGAAGAGCUGCAGUGGAAUUCCUAUGGAAUCUUGGAUAAACAGCUGAAGCAAGAGUGGUCAGAGUGUGUUGAACAAAGGAAACAAAUGGUGAGGCCACCAGGUAGCAAACGAGCGCCCAAGUCUCCUGAGCAAAGAAGGAAAACCGCAGAAGCUAUUGCUGCAAAAUGGGCUGAUCCAUAGAUGAUUCAGUAUAGAAGAGGAAAUUCCAAAAGCAGAGUGAAGAAGAAUCCUCCAACGAAAUUGAUAUCAGAAAAUGCAGCUUCUGGAUACACCACUAAGCUACAAUCUGAUGCAAGGUAUGUAUCUCAAACAAUGAAGUUCGGAUCUGUUGGUCUGCCACCUUAUCGAGCUUACUCACUGGAAGAGAUUGAGGUAGCUACAAACAAUUUUGACUCAGCUCGUUUCAUGGGUGAAGGUUCUCAAGGACAGAUUCUACAAAUGAUGGACUAUUUGAAGUCUGAAGAUGAAUUUGUGAUCCAAACAAGGUGUCCAAUGGUGAUGAGACAUUUCAGGGAUGAUCUAUGACUGGUUUAGCACCAUUAGAGAGAAUAAUGAGAGAAGGAUUUGGUGAAUAAGAGCUAGCAAUGACCUUGUCAGAAUAUUUAGCACUAAAACAUGUCUUGAAAGGGAAGUUAGUCUCAUCAAAUUAAA